UCCUACGGGAGGCUGCAGUGGGGAAUUUUGGACAAUGGGCGAAAGCCUGAUCCAGCAAUGCCGCGUGUGUGAAGAAGGCCUUCGGGUUGUAAAGCACUUUUGUCCGGAAAGAAAUCCUCUGGGUUAAUACCUCGGGGGGAUGACGGUACCGGAAGAAUAAGCACCGGCUAACUACGUGCCAGCAGCCGCGGUAAUACGUAGGGUGCAAGCGUUAAUCGGAAUUACUGGGCGUAAAGCGUGCGCAGGCGGUUUUGUAAGACGGAGGUGAAAUCCCCGGGCUUAACCUGGGAACUGCAUUCGUGACUGCAAGGCUAGAGUAUGGCAGAGGGGGGUAGAAUUCCACGUGUAGCAGUGAAAUGCGUAGAGAUGUGGAGGAAUACCGAUGGCGAAGGCAGCCCCCUGGGCCAAUACUGACGCUCAUGCACGAAAGCGUGGGGAGCAAACAGGAUUAGAUACCCUGGUAGUCUAG
rnacentral:rRNA from 1 species